rnacentral:lncRNA from 1 species
AAACAAAUUUGAACUCACUGGUUAUGAGAGGAAUCAAUGACAACAGAGUCAGGGCGGCUAGGUGGUCAAGUGGAGUAAGUCUUCGGUGAACCAUCGCUAGAUAUCAGGUUCGAUUCCCGGCUUCGUCGUUAAUUUUUCAAAUUCACCAGUUGUUCAAAUUCACAUAUUUUC